rnacentral:rRNA from 1 species
GACGAACGCUGGCGGCGUGCUUAACACAUGCAAGUCGAACGGAAAGGCCCUGCUUUUGUGGGGUGCUCGAGUGGCGAACGGGUGAGUAACCCGUGAGUAACCUGCCCUUGACUUUGGGAUAACUUCAGGAAACUGGGGCUAAUACCGGAUAGGAGCUCCUGCUGCAUGGUGGGGGUCGGAAAGUUUCGGCGGUUGGGGAUGGACUGGCGGGUUAUCAGCUUGUUGGUGGGGUAGUGGCUUACCAAGGCUUUGACGGGUAGCCGGCCUGAGAGGGUGACCGGCCACAUUGGGACUGAGAUACGGCCCAGACUCCUACGGGAGGCAGCAGUGGGGAAUAUUGCACAAUGGGCGGAAGCCUGAUGCAGCAACGCCGCGUGCGGGAUGACGGCCUUCGGGUUGUAAACCGCUUUCGCCUGUGACGAAGCGUGAGUGACGGUAAUGGGUAAAGAAGCACCGGCUAACUACGUG